AGUGAACGCUGGCGGCGUGCCUAAUACAUGCAAGUCGAACGGAGAUUAAGUAGCUUGCUAUUUAAUCUUAGUGGCGCACGGGUGAGUAAUAUAUAGCUAACUUGCCCAUUACUAAGGGACAACAGUUGGAAACGACUGCUAAUACCUUAUACUCCGUAUCUAUAUAAGUAGAUACGGGAAAGUUUUUCGGUAAUGGAUAGGGCUAUAUCGUAUCAGCUAGUUGGUAAGGUAAUGGCUUACCAAGGCUAUGACGCGUAACUGGUCUGAGAGGAUGAUCAGUCAGGCUGGAACUGAGACACGGUCCAGACUCCUACGGGAGGCAGCAGUAGGGAAUAUUGAUGGGUGGGGGAAACCCUGAAGCAGCAACGCCGCGUGGAGGAUGACAUUUUUCGGAGCGUCAACUCCUUUUCUUGGGAAAGAAUUAUGACGGUACCCAAGGAAUAAGCACCGGCUAACUCCGUG
rnacentral:rRNA from 1 species